UCACAACUCCCUUGGACAUCUUGCUAAAAUGCAGAUUCUGGUUCCAGGUCUGGGUGGGCCUGAGAAUUCGCAUUUCUAAUAAGCUCCCAGGUGCGAGUCUGCU
rnacentral:miRNA from 1 species